AUGCCUCGACUGGCUCGACGGCCACCCCACACGCGCCGUCGCUUACGCCAGCUUCGGCACGGUCGUCACCGCCAUGGCAGGAAACCCGGAGGAGCUGCGCGAACUGAGCGAGCUCGCAGCCGGGCUGGAGGCCUCCGGCGCGCUGUUCCUCUGGUGCUGCCCAUGGAGUCCUGGCUGCAGCUACCGCUCGGGUUCCUGGACCUCGAGCGCGGCAAGGUGGUGCCGUGGGCGCCGCAGGCCACCGUGCUACGCCACACGUCGGUUGGCGCCUUCGUCACGCACGCGGGGUGGGCCUCGGUGCUGGAGGGCAUGUCCGCCGGCGUGCCCAUGGCGUGCCGCCCCUUCUUCACCGACCAGAAGAUGAACGCGCAGCUGGUGCCUCAUCUUUCUACACUUUCGGCGUGGUCUUGGAGGAGCCCAUGA
rnacentral:rRNA from 1 species